rnacentral:rRNA from 1 species
GAGUUUGAUCAUGGCUCAGAUUGAACGCUGGCGGCAGGCCUAACACAUGCAAGUCGAGCGGAAACGAGUUAUCUGAACCUUCGGGGAACGAUAACGGCGUCGAGCGGCGGACGGGUGAGUAAUGCCUAGGAAAUUGCCCUGAUGUGGGGGAUAACCAUUGGAAACGAUGGCUAAUACCGCAUGAUGCCUACGGGCCAAAGAGGGGGACCUUCGGGCCUCUCGCGUCAGGAUAUGCCUAGGUGGGAUUAGCUAGUUGGUGAGGUAAGGGCUCACCAAGGCGACGAUCCCUAGCUGGUCUGAGAGGAUGAUCAGCCACACUGGAACUGAGACACGGUCCAGACUCCUACGGGAGGCAGCAGUGGGGAAUAUUGCACAAUGGGCGCAAGCCUGAUGCAGCCAUGCCGCGUGUGUGAAGAAGGCCUUCGGGUUGUAAAGCACUUUCAGUCGUGAGGAAGGUAGUGUAGUUAAUAGCUGCAUUAUUUGACGUUAGCGACAGAAGAAGCACCGGCUAACUCCGUGCCAGCAGCCGCGGUAAUACGGAGGGUGCGAGCGUUAAUCGGAAUUACUGGGCGUAAAGCGCAUGCAGGUGGUUUGUUAAGUCAGAUGUGAAAGCCCGGGGCUCAACCUCGGAAUUGCAUUUGAAACUGGCAGACUAGAGUACUGUAGAGGGGGGUAGAAUUUCAGGUGUAGCGGUGAAAUGCGUAGAGAUCUGAAGGAAUACCGGUGGCGAAGGCGGCCCCCUGGACAGAUACUGACACUCAGAUGCGAAAGCGUGGGGAGCAAACAGGAUUAGAUACCCUGGUAGUCCACGCCGUAAACGAUGUCUACUUGGAGGUUGUGGCCUUGAGCCGUGGCUUUCGGAGCUAACGCGUUAAGUAGACCGCCUGGGGAGUACGGUCGCAAGAUUAAAACUCAAAUGAAUUGACGGGGCCCGCACAAGCGGUGGAGCAUGUGGUUUAAUUCGAUGCAACGCGAAGAACCUUACCUACUCUUGACAUCCAGAGAACUUUCCAGAGAUGGAUUGGUGCCUUCGGGAACUCUGUGACAGGUGCUGCAUGGCUGUCGUCAGCUCGUGUUGUGAAAUGUUGGGUUAAGUCCCGCAACGAGCGCAACCCUUAUCCUUGUUUGCCAGCGAGUAAUGUCGGGAACUCCAGGGAGACUGCCGGUGAUAAACCGGAGGAAGGUGGGGACGACGUCAAGUCAUCAUGGCCCUUACGAGUAGGGCUACACACGUGCUACAAUGGCGCAUACAGAGGGCGGCCAACUUGCGAAAGUGAGCGAAUCCCAAAAAGUGCGUCGUAGUCCGGAUUGGAGUCUGCAACUCGACUCCAUGAAGUCGGAAUCGCUAGUAAUCGUGGAUCAGAAUGCCACGGUGAAUACGUUCCGGGCCUUGUACACACCGCCCGUCACACCAUGGGAGUGGGCUGCAAAAGAAGUAGGUAGUUUAACCUUCGGGGGGACGCUUACCACUUUGUGGUUCAUGACUGGGGUGAAGUCGUAACAAGGUAGCGCUAGGGGAACCUGGCGCUGGAUCACC